GACCAAGGUUUUCAGGGUAAAGCUUGUCUUCCCUGAGUAAGCCGGGACCUAAGCCGAGGCUAUAGUGCGUAGGCGAAUGGAAAACAGAUUAAUAUUUCUGUGCCAGUCAUAUUUUGUGAUGGAGGGACGCAGAAGGGUAUGUACGCGGAAGAACGGUAGUUUCCGUAAAAGCAUGUAGAAUGACUUGAUAGGUAAAUCCGUCAAGUUAGAUUUGAGGUGUGAUAUAUAGUCGUAAGAUGAAUGUACAAAUCCCACGCUGCCGAGAAAAGCUUCUAACGUUAAGGUAUGACUGCCCGUACCCGAAACCGACACAGGUGGUCAGGAUGAGAAAUCUAAGGCGGACAGGCUAACUCUCGUUAAGGAACUCUGCAAAAUUGCCCCGUAACUUCGGGAGAAGGGGUGCCCCUGAGUGUGAGCAUACACGCGAUGUUAAGCGCUUGGGGGUCGCAGUGAAGAGGCUCAAGCAACUGUUUAACAAAAACACAGGUCUAUGCUAAGCUGUAAGGCGAUGUAUAUGGGCUGACACCUGCCCAGUGCCGGAAGGUUAAGAGGAGGAGUGAGAGCUCCGAAUUGAAGCCCCGGUGAACGGCGGCCGUAACUAUAACGGUCCUAAGGUAGCGAAAUUCCUUGUCGGGUAAGUUCCGACCUGCACGAAUGGUGUAAUGAUUUGAGCGCUGUCUUGACGGGAGGCCUGGUGAAAUUGUAUUACCGGUGAAGAUACCGGUUACCUACAGUAGGACGGAAAGACCCCAUGGAGCUUUACUGUAGCUUGGUAUUGGGUUUUGGCAUUGCAUGUAUAGGAUAGUUGGGAAACUAUGAUGGUAUGGCGCUAGCUAUAUCGGAGUUGUCGGUGGAAUACCAACCAUUCAAUGUUGAAAUUCUAAUCUGUGGUUUGGAGCCACGGAGACAGUGCUAGGUGGGCAGUUUGACUGGGGCGGUCGCCUCCGAAAGAGUAACGGAGGCGUUCAAAGGUUCUCUCAGGUUGGAUGGAAAUCAACCGCAGAGUGCAAUGGCAUAAGAGAGCUUGACUGCGAGACUGACGGGUCGAGCAGGUGCGAAAGCAGGACAUAGUGAUCCGGCGAUUCCAAAUGGAAGGAUCGUCGCUCAACGGAUAAAAGCUACCCUGGGGAUAACAGGCUGAUCCUACCCGAGAGUCCAUAUCGACGGUAGGGUUUGGCACCUCGAUGUCGGCUCAUCGCAUCCUGGGGCUGGAGAAGGUCCCAAGGGUUGGGCUGUUCGCCCAUUAAAGCGGUACGUGAGCUGGGUUCAGAACGUCGUGAGACAGUUCGGUCCCUAUCCACUGUAGGCGUUAGAAUAUUGAGAAGAUCUGUCCUUAGUACGAGAGGACCGGGAUGGACAAACCUCUGAUGUACCAGUUGUCACGCCAGUGGCACAGCUGGGUAGUCACGUUUGGAACAGAUAACCGCUGAAAGCAUCUAAGCGGGAAACUGACUUCAAGAUAAGUAUUCUUUAAGACUCCUUCGAGCCUAGGAGGUAGAUAGGUUGGGGGUGUAAGGGCUGUGAGGCCUUUAGCUGACCAAUACUAAUAAGUCGAAGUUUUAACCUU
rnacentral:rRNA from 1 species